AGUGAACGCUGGCGGUAGGCCUAACACAUGCAAGUCGAACGGCAGCACAGUAAGAGCUUGCUCUUACGGGUGGCGAGUGGCGGACGGGUGAGGAAUACAUCGGAAUCUACUUUUUCGUGGGGGAUAACGUAGGGAAACUUACGCUAAUACCGCAUACGACCUACGGGUGAAAGCAGGGGAUUUUCGGACCUUGCGCGAUUGAAUGAGCCGAUGUCGGAUUAGCUAGUUGGCGGGGUAAAGGCCCACCAAGGCGACGAUCCGUAGCUGGUCUGAGAGGAUGAUCAGCCACACUGGAACUGAGACACGGUCCAGACGCCUACGGGAGGCAGCAGUGGGGAAUAUUGGACAAUGGGCGCAAGCCUGAUCCAGCCAUACCGCGUGGGUGAAGAAGGCCUUCGGGUUGUAAAGCCCUUUUGUUGGGAAAGAAAAGCAGCAGGUUAAUACCCCGCUGUUCUGACGGUACCCAAAGAAUAAGCACCGGCUAACUUCGUG
rnacentral:rRNA from 1 species